rnacentral:rRNA from 1 species
UACGUAGGGUGCGAGCGUUGUCCGGAAUUACUGGGCGUAAAGAGCUCGUAGGUGGCUUGUCACGUCGGGUGUGAAAGCUUGGGGCUUAACUCCAGGUCUGCAUUCGAUACGGGCUGGCUAGAGGUAGGUAGGGGAGAACGGAAUUCCUGGUGUAGCGGUGAAAUGCGCAGAUAUCAGGAGGAACACCGGUGGCGAAGGCGGUUCUCUGGGCCUUACCUGACGCUGAGGAGCGAAAGCGUGGGGAGCGAACAGG